rnacentral:misc_RNA from 1 species
CGCGUCCCGCCGCCGCCCAUUCAGUGCCCCGUUGACCAUGUGCUCCUCCGGUCGUGCCACGACAAACACAAUGAGAAUAUUGUUAUUAUCGUCACCACCAUCGUCGUAAUCGCCGGACCCGUUUAAAUCCGUUCGCUGAUCGCGUCGCCGUGCGUACACCGUCCGAUUACACGUCUGCCGACCGUCACGUUAUGAUGCAACGGGUUUUUAUGCAAAACAAAAAUAUUUGAAAGUCACCAAGUACUUUUUAAAUACUACAGACAGAAAACUUCAGUUAAUAAAAUAGAACUUUCGUCAUGUUUUGUGAUUAUAUUUCAUAAAUUUAAAAUGUAAAAUCAAAAUGUUUUAUUUGAACAGUGAUUGUGUGUCGCUCAAUAACUUAUUUACUGAGAGUUUUUUUUUAAAAAAUAAUUUAAUAUUAUAGUGAAUUGUAUAUAUUAAUAACAAAUAUAACUAAAUUAUUAUGAAUACAUUUUGGAAUUUUGGACUACUUAUAUUUUAUGUUAUACCGUGUAUUUUGGCGUUGAUACAGAAAUCUACCAAGUUUCAAGAACGCGAAUAUUGGUACGAAGAGGCACGGGUGGCGCUGAAAAAACGGCUGGCCAGCUACGAGGGUAAAAUAGGAAGGGCGAAAAACGUAGUGUUUUUGGUCGGUGACGGGAUGGGCGCGUCCACAUUGACCGCUUCGAGGAUAUUCAAGGGUCAGAGGCAGGGAAACCAAGGCGAAGAGGAGCAAUUGCUUUGGGACACGUUUCCUGCUGUGGCAAUGGCAAAGACGUACAAUCUAAACGCUCAAACUGGGGAAUCGUCUGCAUGUGCCACUGCAUUACUUUGUGGAGUAAAAGCAAAUUUCGAAACAGUUGGAUUGGAUGGAAAAGGAAAAUUUGAAAGUUGUUAUUCCAGUUUUUCAUCUAGAGUCGAUUCGCUAGCUGACUGGGCCCAACAAGAAGGCAAAUCGACUGGUGUAGUAACCAAUACUAGAAUCACACACGCAACGCCUUCAGCACUAUACGCACAUUCGCCUAGUCGAUAUUGGGAAGAUGACGGGAAAGUACCCAUACCGUCGAGAAAAUCUUGUAAGGACAUCGCUAGACAGUUGGUCGAGGAUGAUCCAGGUCGACAUAUAAACGUGCUUUUGGGUGGUGGUAGAAGACAUUGGUUACCAAAAGUAGCACAGGACCCAGAACAACCUACCGAUGAGGGUAGACGGUUGGAUGGUCGAAAUUUGAUAGACGAUUGGAUCAGAGACAAAAAGAAAAGAAACAUAAAAGCCGAAUACGUGUGGAAUAAGAGUCAACUAGACAAAAUAGAAGCAAAAAAUGUAGAUCAUCUUCUCGGUUUAUUCGCGUAUUCUCACAUGGAGUUCGAGGUGGACCGAGACAAGGGACAAAACGGUGACCCACCCCUUCAUGAGAUGGCUGUCAAAGCUUUAUCUAUACUUCAGAAGAACAACAAAGGAUUCUUUCUAUUUGUCGAAAGUGGCCGUAUCGACCACGCGCAUCAUUACAACAACCCUUACAGAGCUCUAGAGGAGACGCUUGUUUUGGAGUCUACACUAGAAGCUAUCAUGGCCAAAGUGGAUUUGUCCGAUACAUUGGUCGUUGUCACUGCAGACCAUUCACACGUGAUGACAAUGGGAGGACUGGCCACGCCUCGCGGCAACGACAUAUUGGGUGUGGACGUGAAACCAUCAGACGUGGACGGACUGCCGUACAGCACGCUGCUGUACGGGAACGGGCCCGGCCAUACUGCGGAGCACAGGAUGGUACCGAUGGUGAACGCGACGGACGCGGAGACGCACAACCGGUUGCACAGCGCAGCGGUACCGCGGCAGUGGGCCACGCACGGCGGCGAGGACGUGCCGGUGUACGCGGCCGGGCCUUCGGGCAUCACCCAAGCGCUGUUCUCCGGCACGUUCGACCAGUCGUACGUGCCGCACGCCAUCGCGUACGUGGCGUGCUUGGCCGAGCACGCCAAACGGUGCCAGGACGCCGACCUGGUGGCCAACCGCAGCGGCCACGGGUUCGCGGCCGUCAAGACAGGCGUGUACGGGAUCGGGUCGCAGCAAUCGCCGCCGCCGUCGCAGGGUUGCUCGGUAGACACGAAUCCAGCUACGAGGACGACGAUGAUCGGUGGCAAAUCCGGAGGUGCCAAGAGCGGUGCAGCCAUAGUGUUGGCCAGUAGCGUGUUGUCCAACAACGGUUCGUCCGAGCAGACCAACAACACGAAUCCGCUAAACUUGGGCUUCGCGCUGAUCGCCACGGCCGCAGUGCUCGCCUUCGCCAUCACGUAAAUCAUCAGGUCCCGUCCCGCGUUAACGAUAUAUAUUUAUCAUAAAAACAUUUGUGAAUUUAAAGGUCAAUGAUUCACUCAUAUUUUGAUAAACAAUAUCAUCAUCCUUGAAACACUGAACAUCGAUUACUUUUAUGCUACAUCAAGAUGGAUCAUUUGAACUUAUCAUAACAUAUUUUCCAAAUCCGCGAAGUUAUUAUUAUAUGCAUUGUAUAAACUGUUUUUCAAUAUCA